UGGGGAAUAUUGCACAAUGGGCGAAAGCCUGAUGCAGCAACGCCGCGUGAAGGAAGACGGUUUUCGGAUUGUAAACUUCUAUCAAUAGGGAAGAAAGAAAUGACGGUACCUAAAUAAGAAGCCCCGGCUAACUACGUGCCAGCAGCCGCGGUAAUACGUAGGGGGCAAGCGUUAUCCGGAAUUACUGGGUGUAAAGGGAGAGUAGGCGGCAAGGUAAGCGAUAUGUGAAAGCCUCGGGCUUAACCUGAGGAUUGCAUAACGAACUAUCUAGCUAGAGUACAGGAGAGGAAAGCGGAAUUUCUAGUGUAGCGGUGAAAUGCGUAGAUAUUAGGAAGAACACCAGUGGCGAAGGCGGCUUUCUGGACUGAAACUGACGCUGAGGCUCGAAAGCGUGGGGAGCGAACAGG
rnacentral:rRNA from 1 species